rnacentral:rRNA from 1 species
AGCAGCCACCUUUUAAAACGCGUCAAAGCGUAACCUUAGCCCCCAAAAUACCAUUAAUUUUCAUGAACCCCUAAUCUAUAAUGAAUGACUCCAUAUUUAUAUGGAAGACACCAUGCUAGGAUUAGUAACAAGAAUUUAUAAUUCUCCAAAAUGCAAAUAUAAACCAACAUGGAUGGACCAUUGGUAGUUACCGAACCUAAAUUCAAUGCAACAACACCUACAAGAAAACUCUGCAGUACUUACUCGUUAACCUAACACCAGCGCAUUACAGGAAAGAUUUAAAAAAAGAGAAGGAAUUCGGCAAAUGACGGCCCCGCCUGUUUACCAAAAACAUCGCCUCUUGACUUAUAAUAAGAGGUCCAGCCUGCCCAGUGAAUUUUAAACGGCCGCGGUAUCCUAACCGCGCGAAGGUAGCAUAAUCACUUGUUCUUUAAAUGGGGACUCGUAUCAACGGCAUCACGAGGGUUUUACUGUCUCCUCUUUUUGAUCAGUGAAAUUGAUCUUCCCGUGAAGAAGCGGGAAUAAAUUUAUAAGACGAGAAGACCCCAUGGAGCUUUAAACCAAAUAACAACUUAACCACUUAUCCCAUAAUAAAUUUAAGCCCUGUUAUAAGGUUUUUGGUUGGGGUGACCGCGGAGUAAAACACAUCCUCCACGACGAAAAAAACAGAAUUUUUAUUUAAGAACCACACUUCUAGAAAUUAGUAUACUAACGUUUACUGACCCGACAAUCGAUCAACGGACCAAGUUACCCUGGGGAUAACAGCGCAAUCUACUUCAAGAGCUCAUAUCGACAAGUAGGCUUACGACCUCGAUGUUGGAUCAGGGUAUCCCGGUGGUGCAGCCGCUACCGAAGGUUCGUUUGUUCAACGAUUAAAACCCUACGUGAUCUGAU